rfam:Oryza meridionalis cultivar OR44 (W2112) chromosome 5, whole genome shotgun sequence.
AAUAAGCGCAGUCACAAGUUUUCAUGUUCAAUUUUGAUCGUCCGUCUUAUUUAAAUUUUUUUAUGAUUUCUAUUUUUUGUUAUUAGAUUAUAAAACAUGAAUAAUACUUUAUGCGUUAUUUAAAUUUUUUUUAGUUUUUUAAAAAAAUUUAAAAUAAGACGAACGAUUAAAAUUGGACACGGAAACUCAUAGUUGCGUUUAUU